rnacentral:rRNA from 1 species
UACGUAGGGCGCAAGCGUUGUCCGGAAUUAUUGGGCGUAAAGAGCUCGUAGGCGGCUUGUCACGUCGGGUGUGAAAGCCCGGGCUUAACCCCGGGUCUGCAUUCGAUACGGGCAGGCUAGAGUGUGGUAGGGGAGAUCGGAGUUCCUGGUGUAGCGGUGAAAUGCGCAGAUAUCAGGAGGAACACCGGUGGCGAAGGCGGAUCUCUGGGCCAUUACUGACGCUGAGGAGCGAAAGCGUGGGAGCGAACAGG